rnacentral:rRNA from 1 species
UACGAGGGGGGCGAGCGUGUUCGGAAUUAUUGGGCGUAAAGGGUGCGUAGGCGGUUCCGCAAGUCCUGUGUGAAAUCUUCGGGCUCAACUCGAAGUCUGCACGGGAAACUGCGGGGCUUGAGUGUGGGAGAGGUGAGUGGAAUUCCCGGGUGUAGCGGUGAAAUGCGUAGAUAUCGGGAGGAACACCUGUGGCGAAAGCGGCUCACUGGACCUAACUGACGCUGAUGCACGAAAGCUGGGGGAGCAAACAGG